GUCGUUUCCAUCACACGUGUGCAGGUGUUGAGGGCGCUUUCAUAAGCUUUAGACACAAACAACCCGGCAUCCGCUAGUGAAGGAGCCGCCGGAGGAGGCUGACCCAGAACAGAAGUGCCUGUGAGCGGGUCGGGGACAAGGAGGUGGCCGGGCUGCCCCCAGGACGGGACUCCCCUGCUCGUGGGGGGGAGUGGAUCGUCCGCAGCAGGAGACUCCGCUCAUCUGAGGGCGAGCUGUCCGGACCCUCUGGACCGGGG
ensembl:lncRNA